rnacentral:lncRNA from 10 species
GCUGGCUUUGCCUAGUGGAUCCCGCGGUAGGGCUGCGGGUGGAGCUGCCCGCCAGUCCCGCAAGUGCCUGCACUCCUCAGCCCUUGGACCGUUGAUGGGACCCGGCGCCAAGGAACAGGGGGCGGCGCCCGUCAGGGAGGCUCGGGCCCCACGGGAGCCCACUGCGUAGGGGCUCCGGCAUAGAGGGCUGCAGGUCCCGAGCCUGUCCCGCGGGGAGGCGGCUGAGGCCCAGCGAGAAUUUGAGGGCGGCGCGGGCGAGCCGGCAGUGCUGGGGGACCCGGCGCACCCUCCGCAGCUGCUGGCCCGGGUGCUAAGCCCCUCACUGCCCGGGCCGGCGGCUCCGGCCGGCCGCUCUGAGUGUGGGGCCCGCCCAGCCCGCGCCCAUCCGGAACUCGCGCUGGCCGGGAGCGCUGCGCACAGCCCCGGUUCCCGGUGGUGCCUCUCCCUCUACGCCUCCUCACAAGCAGAGGGAGCCGGCUUCGGCCUCAGUCAGCCCAGAGAUGGGCCCCCACAGCUCAGUGGCGGGCUGAAAGGCUCUUCAGGCAUCACCAGAGUGGACGCCGAGGCCCAGGAGGCGCGGAAAGCGAGCAAGGGCUGCUAGCACGUUGUCACCUCUCACUAUCUGAGGUUUCUGUAUGCAAUCACCAAGCAGAAAAGAUAUCCGGAUGUUCUAUUAAGGAAAGGCCACAUGAGCACACGGUGAGAAG